rnacentral:misc_RNA from 1 species
AAGUUUUCUUAUGAAAGAGAUGAACUAAUGAAGUUGUGGAAAGAUGAUUUGUCUUCAGGGUUUGGUUAUACUCCCAUGAAAUAUAAGAAGAAGCUAAUCACAGAAAAGAAGAACACUAAUAGGAGUAAUGGCAUUGCUUAUGCAAAUGGCAGUUAUUAUGGAGAAUAUGCAUCUGACCGGGAAAUCAGAAGACGGUUAUCAAAAUUGAACAAAAAAUCCAUGGAUUCAGGAAGCGAAACUUCUGAUGAAUUUGACAAGUCCUCUGAAGAUGGGUGGAGUGAUAGUGAAAGUACUGCCUCAUACACAGAAAGUGACUUGGAUUUCCGAUCAGAAGCUCGAAGUGUGGAGUCCACAGGGGAUGGAUUCUUUAUGGUGGAUGAGGGUUUAGAUUCCAUAUCAGAUGAUCGUGAAUGGGGUGCUCGCAUGACAAAAGCAAGUCUGGUUCCUCCUGUCACUAGGAAAUAU